GACGAACGCUGGCGGCGUGCUUAACACAUGCAAGUCGAACGGUAAGGCCCUUCGGGGUACACGAGUGGCGAACGGGUGAGUAACACGUGGGUGAUCUGCCCUGCACUUCGGGAUAAGCCUGGGACACUGGGUCUAAUACCGGAUAGGACCACUGCCUGCAUGGGCGGUGGUGGAAAGCUUUUGCGGUGUGGGAUGGGCCCGCGGCCUAUCAGCGUGUUGGUGGGGUGAUGGCCUACCAAGGGGACGACGGGUGGCCGGCCUGAGAGGGUGACCGGCCACACUGGGACUGAGAUACGGCCCAGACUCCUACGGGAGGCAGCAGUGGGGAAUAUUGCACAAUGGGCGCAAGCCUGAUGCAGCGACGCCGCGUGAGGGAUGACGGCCUUCGGGUUGUAAACCUCUUUCAGCACCGACGAAGCGCAAGUGACGGUAGGUGCAGAAGAAGGACCGGCCAACUACGUGCCAGCCGCCGCAGUAA
rnacentral:rRNA from 1 species